rnacentral:rRNA from 1 species
AACGAACGCUGGCGGCAUGCCUAACACAUGCAAGUCGAACGAGACCUUCGGGUCUAGUGGCGCACGGGUGCGUAACGCGUGGGAACCUGCCCUUAGGUUCGGAAUAACUCCCCGAAAGGGGUGCUAAUACCGGAUAAUGUCUUCGGACCAAAGAUUUAUCGCCUUUGGAUGGGCCCGCGUUGGAUUAGCUAGUUGGUAGGGUAAAAGCCUGCCAAGGCGACGAUCCAUAGCUGGUCUGAGAGGAUGAUCAGCCACACUGGGACUGAGACACGGCCCAGACUCCUACGGGAGGCAGCAGUGGGGAAUAUUGGACAAUGGGCGAAAGCCUGAUCAAGCAAUGCCGCGUGAGUGAUGAAGGCCUUAGGGUUGUAAAGCUCUUUUACCCGGGAUGAUAAUGACAGUACCGGGAGAAUAAGCUCCGGCUAACUCCGUG